rnacentral:rRNA from 1 species
AGCAGUCGCCGCGGGAAUACGGAGGGUGCAAGCGUUAAUCGGAAUUACUGGGCGUAAAGCGCACGCAGGCGGUCUGACAAGUCAGAUGUGAAAUCCCCGGGCUUAACCUGGGAACUGCAUUUGAAACUGUCAGGCUGGAGUCUUGUAGAGGGGGGUGGAAUUCCAGGUGUAGCGGUGAAAUGCGUAGAGAUCUGGAGGAAUACCGGUGGCGAAGGCGGCCCCCUGGACAAAGACUGACGCUCAGGUGCGAAAGCGUGGGGAGCAAACAGGAUUAGAUACCCCUGUAGUCCCUGUCUCCUUAUA